GAUGAAGAACGUAGCGAAACGCGAUAAGUAAUGUGAAUUGCAGAAUCCAGUGAAUCAUCGAAUCUUUGAACGCACAUUGCGUCCGCCAGCAUUCUGGCGGGCAUGCCUGUUCGAGCGUCAUUUCAACCCUCGACCUCCCCUUGGGGAGGUCGGCGUUGGGGACCGGCAGCACACCGCCGGCCCUGAAAUGGAGUGGCGGCCCGUCCGCGGCGACCUCUGCGCAGUAAUACAGCUCGCACCGGGACCCCGACGCGGCCACGCCGUAAAACACCCAACUUCUGAACGUUGACCUCGAAUCAGGUAGGACUACCCGCUGAACUUAAGCAUAUCAAUAAGCGGAGGA
rnacentral:misc_RNA from 1 species